rnacentral:rRNA from 1 species
AAACUCAAAGGAAUUGACGGGGGCCCGCACAAGCGGUGGAGCAUGUGGUUUAAUUCGACGCAACGCGAAGAACCUUACCAGGGCUUGACAUCCCCUGACCGCGUAUGAAAGUACGUUUUCACCCUCGGGUGACAGGGAGACAGGUGGUGCAUGGUUGUCGUCAGCUCGUGUCGUGAGAUGUUGGGUUAAGUCCCGCAACGAGCGCAACCCUUAUCAUUAGUUGCUACGCAAGGGCACUCUAAUGAGACUGCCGGUGACAAACCGGAGGAAGGUGGGGAUGACGUCAAGUCCUCAUGGCCCUUAUGGGUAGGGCUUCACACGUCAUACAAUGGUCGGUACAGAGGGUUGCCAAGCCGCGAGGCGGAGCCAAUCCCAUAAAGCCAGUCGUAGUCCGGAUCGCAGUCUGCAACUCGACUGCGUGAAGUCGGAAUCGCUAGUAAUCGUGGAUCAGCAUGUCACGGUGAAUACGUUCCCGGGUCUU